CCCGCCAAAUCAGGCCCCACCAAAGAGUCCCCUCUCCCGGACCCCCACUUUCGAUCGGUCGUGCGCGAGAGUAGGAAUAAUGCCUGUGUUUUCUGCUUUUGCUUUGGCCAGGAGUCUCCGGAGGACGGGGUCCUCCAGGCGCGCCGAAGACGACUACCGAGCCCAGGCGUGAAUCAGAGACCGAGAAAGAAAAAGGGUCGCAUGAGGAUUGAGCCAGACCCGGUGCUCGGCCCUAGCUCAGUCAGUUGUCAUGAUUUUAUAGUCCCUCUUGAGGGGGGACGGAAACUCCUUCGUUGGGGGUCAGCUAAGUCAAAAAGCCGUGAGUUCAGUUCGCUGCCCGAGGUGACAAGAAACUUGCUUGGAUGAAGUCAUGUGAGCUGAACCGAUUGGCCCGAAUCCUCAAAGAGGGGAGUGUCAGGGCGCGCGGCUCCCUCGGAGAGGCUGAGCUAACGCUGGCACCUUCCCGAGAGUCCCCGGACGCCUGGCUUCUGAGUCUCUGUGGAAAGCACUUCUAGCUGGGCGUUGGCGCGCCUGACGAACUGUGCAGUCACUGAGCAGUUGUGGCGAUUGGAAAAUCAGUUUCACGCCCCAGGAAUGUCUCCGAGAGCCGUCCCCGCCCCGCUUCCCAGACCCAGCCAAAAAAAAAAAAAAAAAAAAAAAAAAAAAAAAAAAAAAAUCCAAAGCAAAACCAACUGAGAAAUGGAGCUAGAAAUUGAUGAGGGAUUCCUAGCACCUCAGAAUGUUGACUUGGUAACUUUAUUUUUAAGUCUUUAACAAAUUGCGUUUAUGUCACGUAGAAAUUUUAAGCAGCUUCCGGGGGUUUUGUGUCCCACUUGGAACCAACUUCAGAGCAGCUUGCGCAUAAAUUGGAAUUAUGUGAAUCGUACCUCCGGUUAGAGCACUUAACACACGUAGCGUGUAAACAAAUAUUUCCAACUUGUUGGCGACGGGAUCACUAUGCAAGGCGGGCUUACAAAAAUCCAUGGCGAAUGAAAUCUCACUUCUGAAAGUGAAAAACGCAAAUUCAAGUAGCGUCCGGAUACCUUGCGCCCAUUCUGACGGGGACUGAAGGCUAAAUUAAUAUAGUCUUCCUAAAGGAACUAUUUGAAAGGAUGUUACAAAAGUAGGAACACCUUUGGACCCAGCAAUUCUACUUUUUGGAAUUUAUCCUAAAGACAGUCUUGAAGAACACGAACAACGGUGUUCGCGGCAACGUGGCUUCUAAUAUCAAAGCGUCGUUCACCACUAAAAUGCCCAAUAUAAAUUACAUCACCUCCUGGUGCUUCAAUUUUAUUUUCUCAUCUGUGAGAAUCAGGAACAAUCAUAGGGUUGUGAGGAUGGAAUGGAUGAAUACAAACCAAACCCUUAGGUGCCUAGCAUGUAGUAAGCACUAAAUAAAUGUUUGUUUUGUCCUGCCUCCAUGUUCAUGGUGAGCCCUCAGCCUGCAAUAUCCUCUUGCAAUUUGUCGGAAUCACCCUCACUUUUCCAGUAUUCAAUGGUGGUUUCUUGCACAAAGCCUUUUUGGAUCUCCUAAACAAGAGAGAGAGAGCACGAACAGGGGAGUGGCGACAGAGAGGAAGACAGAAUCCAAAGCAGGC